rnacentral:rRNA from 1 species
AGUAAGAGCUUGCUCUUAUGGGUGGCGAGUGGCGGACGGGUGAGGAAUACAUCGGAAUCUACUCUUUCGUGGGGGAUAACGUAGGGAAACUUACGCUAAUACCGCAUACGACCUACGGGUGAAAGCGGAGGACCUUCGGGCUUCGCGCGGUUGAAUGAGCCGAUGUCGGAUUAGCUAGUUGGCGGGGUAAAGGCCCACCAAGGCGACGAUCCGUAGCUGGUCUGAGAGGAUGAUCAGCCACACUGGAACUGAGACACGGUCCAGACUCCUACGGGAGGCAGCAGUGGGGAAUAUUGGACAAUGGGCGCAAGCCUGAUCCAGCCAUGCCGCGUGGGUGAAGAAGGCCUUCGGGUUGUAAAGCCCUUUUGUUGGGAAAGAAAAGCAGUCGGUUAAUACCCGAUUGUUCUGACGGUACCCAAAGAAUAAGCACCGGCUAACUUCGUGCCAGCAGCCGCGGUAAUACGAAGGGUGCAAGCGUUACUCGGAAUUACUGGGCGUAAAGCGUGCGUAGGUGGUGGUUUAAGUCUGUUGUGAAAGCCCUGGGCUCAACCUGGGAAUUGCAGUGGAUACUGGAUCACUAGAGUGUGGUAGAGGGUAGCGGAAUUCCCGGUGUAGCAGUGAAAUGCGUAGAGAUCGGGAGGAACAUCCGUGGCGAAGGCGG